rnacentral:rRNA from 1 species
CCUACGGGGGGCUGCAGUGGGGAAUAUUGGACAAUGGGGGGAACCCUGAUCCAGCCAUGCCGCGUGUGUGAAGAAGGCCCUCGGGUUGUAAAGCACUUUCAGUGAGGAAGAACGCCUGGUGGUUAAUACCCAUCAGGAAAGACAUCACUCACAGAAGAAGCACCGGCUAACUCCGUGCCAGCAGCCGCGGUAAUAAGGAGGGUGCGAGCGUUAAUCGGAAUUACUGGGCGUAAAGCGCGCGUAGGUGGCUUGAUAAGCCGGUUGUGAAAGCCCCGGGCUCAACCUGGGAACGGCAUCCGGAACUGUCAAGCUAGAGUGCAGGAGAGGAAGGUAGAAUUCCCGGUGUAGCGGUGAAAUGCGUAGAGAUCGGGAGGAAUACCAGUGGCGAAGGCGGCCUUCUGGACUGACACUGACACUGAGGUGCGAAAGCGUGGGUAGCAAACAGGAUUAGAUACCCCUGUAGUC